rnacentral:rRNA from 1 species
UAGGGAAUCUUCCGCAAUGGACGAAAGUCUGACGGAGCAACGCCGCGUGAGUGAAGAAGGAUUUCGGUUCGUAAAACUCUGUUGUUAGGGAAGAAAAAAUGUAUAGUAACUAUAUACAAAAGAGACGGUACCUAACCAGAAAGCCACGGCUAACUACGUGCCAGCAGCCGCGGUAAUACGUAGGUGGCAAGCGUUGUCCGGAAUUAUUGGGCGUAAAGCGCGCGCAGGUGGUUUAGAAAGUCUGAUGUGAAAGCCCCCGGCUCAACCGUGGAGGGUCAUUGGAAACUAAUAAACUUGAGUGCAGGAGAGAAAGGUGGAAUUCCUAGUGUAGCGGUGAAAUGCGUAGAGAUUAGGAGGAACACCGGUGGCGAAAGCGGCUUUUUGGCCUGCAACUGACACUGAGGCGCGAAAGCGUGGGGAGCAAACAGG